UAUGCUGGCAUAUAUUAAUGUAAAAUAAUUUAUUCUUUAUUAAUAUCCCAGUGUAUUGUGUUUCUGAGCGCGAGUAAUCGAGGAACUAUAUUAUCCUGUGGCGGCGCUGGCGGAGGGAGACCAUCGAGAGUAGCAGUGCUGCUCGCGCAGAUUACGUCACGCGGUUGGCGACAGAAUGUCUGAGUGCGAGGCGCGAGUAAGCUGCACGUGAAUGUGGAAUCUGGGAAAACACUGCGAGCUGAGAUAUCAGCCACUGCUGAGGAGGGAGGAGAGGUCGGAGGAGGGCCUCUCACCUCUGUCACGGAGCCUUCAUUCACCCUCAUCACAAUGGAGCCAUGAAAAUGUGUUGGUGAUGCUAUUGUUUGCAUGUUCAGCAAAUAUAACUCCUGCAUUACAUCAUGCAACUUUGAAGAUGGAAUGAUAUUUCUUCCCCCAUAUCACAGAUGUUUCUUCAGUUCAACAUUGUAAGGUCAUUUCUCUUGAGACUAGAGCUGUGACGCUGCGUCCAUCUGGAGAUAUUGUAAGCGAUAGUCCUCUGACAUCAUCCUUUCCUGUGGCGUAUUCUAAACAGAGUUCUGUGUGGUGAAAAUAGCUCCAGCUGUAAACAAAGCUUCCAUGUCUGAUUUGCUUUUCUUAGAACGGAAUAACAGUAUAUGCACUAUAAUGCCAAAGAAAACAUAGGAGGGAUGACUACAACAGCCAGCAAGAGAAUAACUCAGCAUUUACACAAUGAAGCAUAUGUUGCAUCAAAAGCCAGAUCCACCCUAAACUCAUUACCAUCUGCAAAGCAUUUUAAACACAUAUGACUUAUAUACAAUGCAAAUAUGUGUGGUGUCAGCAUGAGUUAAAAAAAAAACUUAAUUCCUCUUGACCAUUCAAAAUAUGUAUUGUAAUAUACUAAAUAUAGAAAUAAAUCUACAAAGCACAAAUAAAGCUUUUAGAUUCUUAGCUUCGGGUUUUCCUUUAAUUCACCAGUUGUGAGUAUGUGCUGUGCAAUGAUGUCAUCCCCCAUUGCUUUAUUGAUCGUAGCUGCCAUGGCUACCACAGUGCUGUAACUGUAGCAGUGGUAGGUCAAAGGUUACAAAGAUAGCCCUGAAUUUAUGGGAGGGCUUUUCUCAUUCACCCCCACACCUCUUUGUUGAUUCUGAAUAUGCCUUUCAUUUCCAAUCCUCGUCGUUCUCUCCAUCCUUCAUCCAAUCAGUGGCAAUUAACCACAAGAACCAGCCAGCUACCUUUCCGAUGAUAACCUCUGCCCAGUGCAGACUGCUGUUUGUAAACCUUUAUGCAAGAAUAUUUUGCCCACACAGUACUGAUAAACCAAGAUAAACAUUCAGAUAUAAUUUUAAAGGGAUAGUUCACUCAAAAAUAAAAAGCUGCUUAAAAUGUACUCUCCCUUGGGUCAUCCAAAAUGUAAUUAAGUUUGUACUGGAACAGAUUUGCAUAAAUUUAGCAUUAUGUCACUUGCUCACCAAUGGAUCCUCUGCAGUGAAUGGGUGCCGUCAGAAUGAGAGUCCAAACAGCUGAUAAAAACAUCAAAAUUAUCCACAAAUUAUCAAAACUACUCCAGUCCAUCAAUUAACGUCUUGUGAAGUGAAAAUCUGCCUGUUGGUAAGAAGCCUUAUCAAUACCUACAUAUAUUUUUUAAAGGUGAACCAUAUGUAUCACUUUAUUAAUAUUUUUAUUUUUAUUUUUUUUACAUUCAACACAUUACAUUUAUAACGUUAUAAGUUCACCAUAAAAACUCUGUGGACAGCUCCCUCUAGUGACAAAUCAUAAUCAGUUCAUACAUUUAAAAAAAAAAAAACAUGUCAAAUCUAUUGAAACGUUUGAAUGAUAGUAAGUAAAAGUAAGUUCUGCUUAAUACUUAAUAAAACAUUUUGCAUGUC
ensembl:lncRNA